AUCCAGUUGACUAGUCCUAAAUAGGACGAAACACACAUCCUGGAU
rnacentral:hammerhead_ribozyme from 1 species